rnacentral:lncRNA from 1 species
CACUUCUUGAAAAGGUGAAAUUCUAGAAGAUUAUAACAUAUACGGACUUCUGUUUUUCUGCGACUUGAACAAUGUCUCCUCUUGAAUUUUGAGUGUUAGAAUUAUUAGCACACGAAGCAAAAUGUUGUGAAUUUCUUUCCCUGCAGUCCCGGAGAACAGGCAGAAGGUGUUAGGCAUAGAACUGAGGACUCUUGAUGCCGAGGUUUGUGUGCUAAUCAUUAAGCAUGUAUCCCCCCAUUAGCUAUGCAAAACGCAUGCCUGGUGUUGCUAAGUAAACCUUAUGUUUAUCAGGCAUAAAAGGUGCAUCCCGGGUUCUUUCCUCUCUCUGUCAGGGAGCACAGAGCUGAAGACUACAAUUUUGGAAAGGAAAAGAUUUGGAAAGCGGCUCGGCUGUGGCAGCUUCUCCAGGCUUGGAGCCUGGCAGGAAACAGUGGCAGUUUGUCUUCCAGUCAAGGGCCCUGCUGUCUUUACUAAUUGAAUGAUCCAAAUUAAGGGAUGUCAUCAGAAGCAUAACCAAAGUGGCAAAUUGCUGUUUUAGUUCAAAAACAUUUAUGUGGAUUACAACUGUACUGUAUGGAAAUUUAUUUUAUAAAUAAAAAAUGUAUGCACACCCAUGUUUAUAACGGCAC